rnacentral:RNase_P_RNA from 1 species
GAAGCUGGCCAGACAGUCGCCGCCUGUUUUUUAGCAAUAAGAGACAGGGGGAGGAAAGUCCGGGCUCCAUAGAGCAGGAUGUCGGCUAACGACCGACCGCCGUGAGGCGAGGAAUAGGGCCACAGAGACGAGCGUAUUAAGUUACGGUGAAACGCGGUAACCUCCAUCCGGAGCAAAACCAAAUAGGCAGGCGAUGAAGCGGCUCGCUGAGCCUGCGGGUAGGUUGCUUGAGCGUACAGGUAACUGUACGCCUAGAGGAAUGACUGUCCACGACAGAACCCGGCUUAUCGGCCAGCUUCACCU